rnacentral:rRNA from 1 species
UACGUAGGGGGCAAGCGUUGUCCGGAUUUAUUGGGCGUAAAGCGCUCGCAGGCGGCUUGCUACGUCGUGCGUGAAACACCCCGGCUCAACUGGGGAGGGUCGUGCGAUACGGGCAGGCUGGAGGCCAGUAGGGGGAUGCGGAAUUCCGGGUGUAGUGGUGGAAUGCGUAGAGAUCCGGAAGAACACCGGAGGCGAAGGCGGCUUGCUGGGCGUGAUCUGACGCUGAGGCGCGAAAGCGUGGGGAGCGAACAGG